rnacentral:rRNA from 1 species
AUUGAACGCUGGCGGAAUGCUUUACACAUGCAAGUCGAACGGCAGCACGGACUUCGGUCUGGUGGCGAGUGGCGAACGGGUGAGUAACAUAUCGGAACGUAUCCAAUAAUGGGGGAUAACGAGUCGAAAGAUUCGCUAAUACCGCAUACGCCCUACGGGGGAAAGCUGGGGACCUUCGGGCCUGGCGUUAGUGGAGCUGCCGAUAUCUGAUUAGCUAGUUGGGGAGGUAAAGGCUCACCAAGGCGACGAUCAGUAGCUGGUCGGAGAGGACGACCAGCCACACUGGAACUGAGACACGGUCCAGACUCCUACGGGAGGCAGCAGUGGGGAAUUUUGGACAAUGGGCGCAAGCCUGAUCCAGCCAUUCCGCGUGAGUGAAGAAGGCCUUCGGGUUGUAAAGCUCUUUCGCAAGGGAAGAAAACUUAGCCACUAACAUUGGUUGAGGUUGACGGUACCUUGAUAAGAAGCACCGGCUAACUACGUGCCAGCAGCCGCCGUAA